CAGGUGCACAGGUGCGGCCGCGAUGGCGCCGAGCGCGGCGGGGCCAGAGCCGGCGAAGUCGGAGUGGGAGCGGUUCCAUUAUGAUUACGACUCUCUGCGCCUCGGGGGCCUCAUCGUGGCCGGGAUCUUCUUCGUGCUCGGGAUCCUCCUCAUCCUCAGUCGCCGCUGCCGCUGCAAGUUCGACCAACAGCCCAAGACGGGGGAGCCGGAUGAGGCCGAGGGCGCCUUCAGGCAAUCGAUGCGCCGU